rnacentral:rRNA from 1 species
UACGAAGGGGGCUAGCGUUGUUCGGAUUUACUGGGCGUAAAGCGCGUGUAGGCGGUUCUGCAAGUCGGGUGUGAAAUCCCCGGGCUCAACCCGGGAACUGCAUCCGAAACUGCGGGGCUAGAGUUCCGGAGAGGAAGGCAGAAUUCCCAAUGUAGGGGUGAAAUCCGUAGAUAUUGGGAGGAAUACCAGUGGCGAAGGCGGCCUUCUGGACGGUGACUGACGCUGAGACGCGAAAGCGUGGGGAGCAAACAGG